AGUGAACGCUGGCGGUAGGCCUAGCACAUGCAAGUCGAACGGCAGCACAGUAAGAGCUUGCUCUUACGGGUGGCGAGUGGCGGACGGGUGAGGAAUACAUCGGAAUCUACUUUUUCGUGGGGGAUAACGUAGGGAAACUUACGCUAAUACCGCAUACGACCUACGGGUGAAAGCAGGGGAUCUUCGGACCUUGCGCGACUGAAUGAGCCGAUGUCGGAUUAGCUAGUUGGCGGGGUAAAGGCCCACCAAGGCGACGAUCCGUAGCUGGUCUGAGAGGAUGAUCAGCCACACUGGAACUGAGACACGGUCCAGACUCCUACGGGAGGCAGCAGUGGGGAAUAUUGGACAAAGGGCGCAAGCCUGAUCCAGCCAUACCGCGUGGGUGAAGAAGGCCUUCGGGUUGUAAAGCCCUUUUGUUGGGAAAGAAAAGCAGCAGGUUAAUACCCCGCUGUUCUGACGGUACCCAAAGAAUAAGCACCGGCUAACUUCGUG
rnacentral:rRNA from 1 species